rnacentral:tRNA from 1 species
GCCGGUUGCUCAGUGGUGUUAGAGCGCGUGCUAAAGCGGAGGUCAUGAGUUCGAAUCCCUUACGGGCA